rnacentral:rRNA from 1 species
GAGUUUGAUCCUGGCUCAGGCCGAACGCUGGCGGCGUGCCUAAUACAUGCAAGUCGAGCGAGCUGAAUUCAAAGAUUCCUUCGGGAUGAUUUGUUGGACGCUAGCGGCGGAUGGGUGAGUAACACGUGGGCAAUCUGCCCUAAAGACUGGGAUACCACUUGGAAACAGGUGCUAAUACCGGAUAACAACAUGAAUCGCAUGAUUCAAGUUUGAAAGGCGGCGCAAGCUGUCACUUUAGGAUGAGCCCGCGGCGCAUUAGCUAGUUGGUGGGGUAAAGGCCUACCAAGGCAAUGAUGCGUAGCCGAGUUGAGAGACUGAUCGGCCACAUUGGGACUGAGACACGGCCCAAACUCCUACGGGAGGCAGCAGUAGGGAAUCUUCCACAAUGGACACAAGUCUGAUGGAGCAACGCCGCGUGAGUGAAGAAGGUUUUCGGAUCGUAAAGCUCUGUUGUUGGUGAAGAAGGAUAGAGGCAGUAACUGGUCUUUAUUUGACGGUAAUCAACCAGAAAGUCACGGCUAACUACGUGCCAGCAGCCGCGGUAAUACGUAGGUGGCAAGCGUUGUCCGGAUUUAUUGGGCGUAAAGCGAGCGCAGGCGGAAUGAUAAGUCUGAUGUGAAAGCCCACGGCUCAACCGUGGAACUGCAUCGGAAACUGUCAUUCUUGAGUGCAGAAGAGGAGAGUGGAACUCCAUGUGUAGCGGUGAAAUGCGUAGA